CAAUUGAUCUGUGGCUUAGUGGUAUUCUCCUUGUGUUUGGCUAACUAAUCCCAAGUUCGAGCCUUCGCGUUUGUUUUUGGCUAUUCAAUUUUUUAAAAAAAACCCUAGUAGCAUGAUAUAAAUACUGCAUUUUAUCAACCGCCUCCAUCCCUAAUUUUCUCUCUAAGUCUCUACCUCAAGCUCCUCCUCACCGACCCUUCUCCUGGCGCAUCGAUGCCCCACAUUGAGGUGAGCAAGCUCGUAAAAGGAAGGCCGCUUGAUAAUUUGGAGUUCAUGCAAUGGAUGAUGCGGUACUGCGAUUCCGUCAAUGGAGGCGCUCUGCACAGACACAGAGAAAAUUUGAUUCGGGGUUGUGCACUAUGAGGUCAAAGCAGAGUGGCAUAGGAAGCAGUGGAAGCUGCUGUAAAGCUUUUCAAUUCUGUUCGUGUAGAUAAUAUCAUACCACUCGGUUCAGCAGUUAGUUUCAAAAAAAUUGAGAUCUCAGAUCAGCAUCGUCUUAAUUUGAUGGAGUGGAUACUUCCUAGAGUUAUAAUGAUAUGAAAUACGGUUUCUACUAUUUGAUGGAGUGUAGCUGUACAUUUACUCAUUGUAUGGCGACUUUUUUGUAUACUUAUUUUAGAGGAGGAAGCUUGUUACUCUUUUUUUUCUUUUUUUAAAUUUUUUAAAAAAAAUUUGGACAUUGAGAAUACAAAGUUAGUUUCUUGAAUACUGAGUUCUAUCCAUAUUUUUUAAUAUAAGGCUUUAGUUUAUAUACCCCACUCCCCUACAACUUGAUUCAAGUCAUUUCUUCUUCCUUUCCUUUAACUUAGAAUGAAUUAUAUUCUAUUGCUAACUGUUACUAUUAUAUUAUUCCAACAGAAUGCGAUUAGUUUUAUUAUGCAAUGUUGGUUUCAUAUUUGUUUUUUUUAUAUAAUAGGACUUACAUGGUUAGUGGUAUUAUUGAGUUGAUUGAAUUGCUGACUGUUUCUAUUAUUUAAAAAGAAUGUGUUUAGUUUUUUGCUAUUCCUACUUUGGUAUAUGGAGCAAUUUUAUAAAACUAGCAUGCUUCAUCGAUAAUACAAUCACAGACUUUGCAUCUUGUUUAAGCUAAUGGUUUCUGGACCAAAUGGCAUUUUCUCUUCUUAGUACACAGCCACAUGACUAAAUUGUUAAAUUGUACAUGAUUUCUUCAACGUCUGACUUAGAGUGGAAUGUAUGCUUGUGUCUUGGCAUCUUGUUGUUUGUAAAUUGAUGCUUAUCUUAAAGCAUUCAUUAAAUAAAGAAAAAAUUGUUGAAGCCGCAUUAUAUCAGGAAGCAGACUAGGCAGAAAUCACUCUAGCUUACCUUUUCUUCUUGGUAGAAUUACAAUGAUGGAAGGUAUUUUUAGCAUAGACCACCCAAAUAGGAUCACCGCAUUCAGUUUAGGUAAAAUAGUAAAAUGAAGGUUCUUGCAAACACAAAAACAAAGUCUGCUGAGCCACUAUAUUCAUUAAAUGGAAUGACUUUGAGCUUAAAAUACCAUCCUUGCAUAGGAAGAUAUCUACCAUCUCAGAGCUGAAGAGAACCAUUGGAUGACGGUCUCUCAUUCGCAUAUUCAAGAGUUUGCUUGCCCAUCAAAGCUUCAUGUGUUUGGAAAUAAAAGAAGGGGACUCAAUUAUAUUUCUUCUUUCUUUGCCCAACAACGAUCGACAACCCAAACAGAAGGAAGCUGUUAAGGAUAAGGAAGUGGCUUCUGGGAGAGUCAUAUUAGCUACUUUUGCUGAUUUCUUGCCCCAAAAUUAAAAGGGAAAAGAUGAUAGCUGCACUUGUACCUCAUUUGGAUGGAGCUCCAUACAAAUCAAGAAUCUUCUGAAUGCUUUUUCUAGAUACUGAACAACUGACUAUGUGAGACUAGCACCUUGAGCAACUAAGUUCUCUCUGCUUCAUUCAAAGGUGUCUGGUAAUUUCAAAGGCUAGUUAUAUCUCUAUUUGAUACUGUUGUCUACAUUGUUGUCUUGGUAAUCUGAAUGGCCUGUUAUUUUUUUCAAACUUUUAACACUGAAUCAGUUAGUGGGUUGCUUUUGAUGUAGUCAACUUUGUUGCACUGAAUAUUUUGUGGACUGCUUCUCCAAUUUGUUUAAAUCAUUCUAUACCUAAUACCAAGGAUUUGUUUUGCUUUUAUUCUCCCUAAGCACUCCCACUGUGUAUAACCUGUGUACUAGGAUUGUGCCCUUCACUAUGUUAAUUCAAUUCAUAUUUACUUAUUAAUUUAUUAAA